AACGAACGCUGGCGGCAUGCCUAACACAUGCAAGUCGAACGAGACCUUCGGGUCUAGUGGCGCACGGGUGCGUAACGCGUGGGAACCUGCCCUUAGGUUCGGAAUAACUCCCCGAAAGGGGUGCUAAUACCGGAUAAUGUCUUCGGACCAAAGAUUUAUCGCCUUUGGAUGGGCCCGCGUUGGAUUAGCUAGUUGGUAGGGUAAAAGCCUACCAAGGCGACGAUCCAUAGCUGGUCUGAGAGGAUGAUCAGCCACACUGGGACUGAGACACGGCCAGACUCCUACGGGAGGCAGCAGUGGGGAAUAUUGGACAAUGGGCGAAAGCCUGAUCCAGCAAUGCCGCGUGAGUGAUGAAGGCCUUAGGGUUGUAAAGCUCUUUUACCCGGGAUGAUAAUGACAGUACCGGGAGAAUAAGCUCCGGCUAACUCCGUGC
rnacentral:rRNA from 1 species